rnacentral:rRNA from 1 species
UACGGUGAAUACCGUCCCGACUUGUACACACCGCCCGUCAAGCCAUGGAAGCUGGGUGUACCUAAAGUCGAUAACCGUAAGGAGUCGCCUAGGGUAAAACUAGUAACUGGGGCU